AGUGUGCACUGGCGGCAGACGUAUCACAUGCAAGUCGAGCGGUAACACAGAGUAGCCUGCUACUCUGAUGACGAGCGGCGGACGGGUGAGUAAUGCUUGGGAACAUGCCUUGAGGUGGGGGACAACAGUUGGAAACGACUGCUAAUACCGCAUAAUGUCUACGGACCAAAGGGGGCUUCGGCUCUCGCCUUUAGAUUGGCCCAAGUGGGAUUAGCUAGUUGGUGAGGUAAUGGCUCACCAAGGCGACGAUCCCUAGCUGGUUUGAGAGGAUGAUCAGCCACACUGGGACUGAGACACGGCCCAGACUCCUACGGGAGGCAGCAGUGGGGAAUAUUGCACAAUGGGCGCAAGCCUGAUGCAGCCAUGCCGCGUGUGUGAAGAAGGCCUUCGGGUUGUAAAGCACUUUCAGUCAGGAGGAAAGGUUAGUAGUUAAUACCUGCUAGCUGUGACGUUACUGACAGAAGAAGCACCGGCUAACUCCGUGCCAGCAGCCGCGGUAAUACGGAGGGUGCGAGCGUUAAUCGGAAUUACUGGGCGUAAAGCGUACGCAGGCGGUUUGUUAAGCGAGAUGUGAAAGCCCCGGGCUCAACCUGGGAACUGCAUUUCGAACUGGCAAACUAGAGUGUGAUAGAGGGUGGUAGAAUUUCAGGUGUAGCGGUGAAAUGCGUAGAGAUCUGAAGGAAUACCGAUGGCGAAGGCAGCCACCUGGGUCAACACUGACGCUCAUUA
rnacentral:rRNA from 1 species